rnacentral:rRNA from 1 species
ACCUACGGGAGGCAGCAGUGGGGAAUAUUGGGCAAUGGGCGCAAGCCUGACCCAGCAACGCCGCGUGAAGGAAGAAGGCUUUCGGGUUGUAAACUUCUUUUAAGAGGGAAGAGAAGAAGACGGUACCUCUUGAAUAAGCCACGGCUAACUACGUGCCAGCAGCCGCGGUAAUACGUAUGGUGCAAGCGUUAUCCGGAUUUACUGGGUGUAAAGGGAGCGCAGGCGGCACGGCAAGCCUGAUGUGAAAGCCCGCGGCCCAACCGCGGGACUGCAUUGGGAACUACCGGGCUGGCGCGCCGGAGAGG